rnacentral:rRNA from 1 species
AUUGAACGCUGGCGGCAUGCCUUACACAUGCAAGUCGAACGGCAGCACGGGGCAACCUGGUGGCGAGUGGCGAACGGGUGAGUAAUGCAUCGGAACGUACCUUUCAGUGGGGGAUAACGUAGCGAAAGUUACGCUAAUACCGCAUAUUCUGUGAGCAGGAAAGCAGGGGAUCGCAAGACCUUGCGCUGAUUGAGCGGCCGAUGUCAGAUUAGCUAGUUGGUGAGGUAAAGGCUCACCAAGGCGACGAUCUGUAGCGGGUCUGAGAGGAUGAUCCGCCACACUGGAACUGAGACACGGUCCAGACUCCUACGGGAGGCAGCAGUGGGGAACUUUGGACAAUGGGGGCAACCCUGAUCCAGCCAUGCCGCGUGAGUGAAGAAGGCCUUCGGGUUGUAAAGCUCUUUCGGCCGGGAAGAAAUCGCACAGGCUAAUACCUUGUGUGGAUGACGGUACCGGAAUAAGAAGCACCAGCUAACUACGUGCCAGCCGCCGCGGUAACAC